GCUUUCUCUUAUCAGUAGCAGUCUAGAUGCUUGGCGGACACGGCAGUAUGACUAUUAUCAGAGAGUUUUGAAUGGAAUAUUGUGAGGUUAGGUUUGCAUGGUACAACAUUCUUUGCUCCCUUUGACAAUUGCCAGUCCAGUGAAGCAUUUUGAUGAGUUUGAUGCAAAUCACUGUACAAGGGCAAUUGGUUUGCUGCAUUGUGUGACUCCGGAGAUUUUGUUGAAGAUGUAUCAAAUACUAAUAACAGAUUGUGGCCUGUUUUCUCUCGGUGAGAGGAAUUUGUAAUUGUAUCGGCUGAAAUACUUUUAGGAAGUCCAGCAGGCUAAAUUUUCUUCUGUGGAGUCGUCUUCUUUUCACUGUUUCCCCUUGUCAUUGAAUAUGGAAGUCUGCUUGUGUUCGGGGAAUUUAAUUAUUCAAAAAGGAGGCAUGCAUUUUCACCCUCUUCAUACAGCAUGUAUAGAUUCAUUUCUAUGAAGAUGACCGGCCAGAUAUGAAAAGGCUGCAAGGGCACAAUUGCUGAUUGAAUUUCACACUUGGUAGUCAUCAGAAGCAACACAAGUACCAAACUCCUGAUUACCUGCCAUUUUGCCAUUAGAAGUUGCUAUAUUCUUCAGAUAGAAGCAUGUCAGACAACAUCAUAUUGGUGUCUGUCUGUCAGUUCUGAUGUCAAAUAUUUGAUGGUGAGUCUUCGCGGGUAUAAUUUCUCAAUGCUUGUUUCCCAGAAAAGUUGUGCUUACAAAAUUCUUUAAAGCAAUAAAUGAAUACAUCAUGUGAGAUCAGUCCUGUUUUCUUUGAAAGUGAAAGAAAAAAUUUGUUUAUUGAAAUCUUAGUCAUAUAUCAUAGUCUUUGGUGGGCAUAGAAUUCUGUUCCAAUUUGUGUAUUUGAUGGACAUGGGCAUGGUAGGUUUUGUGGGUCAGUAAUAGAAAUUUUUUAGGCUGUUUACUCCUGUCUUGAUUCGUCAACUAUAGGAUCAUUCAUGUAAAAUAUGAUAAAGCAACUUUCUGUAAAGGCUUGGUUUUUAUCUCCUGGUACAGUGGGAAAUUUUACUGAGCAAUUCCUGUGAUGAGAUGUGAUUUGUUUAUUCAUAUGUUCUGC
rnacentral:misc_RNA from 1 species